rnacentral:rRNA from 1 species
CAGGAUACUCUCUUGGUGUGUACUGGGUGUUAACCUCCUUUUUUUCUGGUACUUGCUAUCCAGCAAUGGGUAGUUUUGUCCAGAUAGUUUACUUUGAAAAAUUAGAGUGUUCAAAGCAGGCAUAAUUGGCAUCAUGAAUACAUUAGCAUGGGAUAAUAGAAUAUGACAUUGGUCUUAUUUUGUUGGUUUCUAAGGCCAAAGUAAUGAUUGAUAGGGAUAGUUGGGGCCGCUCGUAUUGAGUUGUCAGAGGUGAAAUUCUAGGAUUUACUCAAGACGAACUAAUGCGAAAGCAUUCGGCAAAGGAUGUUUUCAUUAAUCAAGAACGAAAGUUGGGGGAUCGAAGAUGAUCAGAUACCGUCGUAGUCUCAACCAUAAACUAUGUCAACCGAGGAUCCGGUAGCGUUACAUGGAUGACUUCCGGGCACUCUGUGAG